UCACCCUUUGUCCUGAUUCCUCACCCACGAUCAUCUUUGCUUGCAGGUUCCCUCUCUCAGCCUUUGCUUAUUCAGCUGCCCUCCCUCUCUGCACAUCUGAGAAAUGCUAUAAGACUUCCCUGUACCCCAAGUAGUGGCUGCAUUGUUGGAGGCUGUCACAUAUUCUUGUACCAGCAGAAGUCACGGAGCCUUCCCCAGUAUCUCCUGAGAUACUACUCAGACUCAAGUAAGCACCAGGACUCUGGGGUCCCCAGUCACUUCUGUGAAUCCAAAGAUCCCUCGGGCAAUGUGCAGGGAUUCUGCACAUUUCUGAGCAGCCUGAGAUCAAGUCCGACUAUUACUAUUUUACAUAUCACAGCAACAGUGGCACUUUCACUGUGCUCCAGACUUACGGGGAAGUGAGAUUAGAACCUCCCCUGCAUUCUCUCUGCCUUGUGCAGGCAACAAUACACUGUCUGGG
rnacentral:lncRNA from 1 species